GCGGUGGUCCCACCUGACCCCAUGCCGAACUCAGAAGUGAAACGCCGUAGCGCCGAUGGUAGUGUGGGGUCUCCCCAUGCGAGAGUAGGGAACUGCCUGGCA
rnacentral:rRNA from 1 species